UAUGAAACAGGAAACAUUUCU
rnacentral:piRNA from 1 species